AUGACCCGCGUCGUCGCCUCCGACGUCGGCCUCUCCUUCACCACCGCCCCUACCGGCAGGGUCCCCCUUGUCAUGGCCUUCCUCGCCUGGGUGUACGUCGCCAGCUGGCCAUAUGGCAGGACGCGCAGACCCGAGCGAUCCUCUCCGGCCUCCUUGAGAAGAGCUCGACUCCAGCCCGGCGACGAUGAUGACCUGAUUCCUACCGGUGGACGAUGA
rnacentral:rRNA from 1 species